UACAGAGGGUGCGAGCGUUAAUCGGAAUUACUGGGCGUAAAGCGUGCGUAGGCGGUUAUUUAAGUCGGAUGUGAAAGCCCCGGGCUCAACCUGGGAAUUGCAUUCGAGACUGAAUAGCUAGGGUACGGUAGAGGGAAGCGGAAUUUCCGGUGUAACGGUGAAAUGCGUAGAUAUCGGAAGGAACAUCAGUGGCGAAAGCGGCUUCCUGGACCAGUACCGACGUUCAGGCACGAAAGCGUGGGGAGCAAACAGG
rnacentral:rRNA from 1 species